AGAACGAACGCUGGCGGCAUGCCUAAUACAUGCAAGUCGAACGAACACUUCGGUGUUAGUGGCGCACGGGUGCGUAACGCGUGGGAAUCUGCCCUUGGGUUCGGAAUAACAGUUGGAAACGACUGCUAAUACCGGAUGAUAUCGAAAGAUCAAAGAUUUAUCGCCCAGGGAUGAGCCCGCGUAGGAUUAGCUAGUUGGUGAGGUAAAGGCUCACCAAGGCGACGAUCCUUAGCUGGUCUGAGAGGAUGAUCAGCCACACUGGGACUGAGACACGGCCCAGACCUCCGUACGGGAGCGAG
rnacentral:rRNA from 1 species